GAGCUCGACUGAGAAUUAAAGUGAGUGAACAAAGAGAACUCCCAGCAGCCGCCCGCCAGCGCCUCGCAGCUGCAUCUGGAGACGCUAGUCACGCCCGGAAGGCUGUUCGAGUCCGCCUCCCUGGGAAAAUAACUCAAAUAAAUAAUUGAUGGAGAUUGAUCGGACCCGAAACAAAGCUUUGCAGAAAACCAAUGCAUCCGAUUUUAAGCGGUUUUGGAAUCCUCUGCCAAGUACGGGAUGUGAGAGUGGACCUACGACUUUGAGUGCGGCUGCAGAUCUUCCAUCUCGGGCGUGGCUCUGGCCUUUUUGUCUUCCUGUCUCCCUCCUCCCACUCUCACCCCGACCCCCUGUCCCUGUCUUCUCUUUCCUCUUGAAAGUAGUCUCUCUUGCAUUACUUCUAUCCUGUCCUCCUUUGCAAUCCCGCCUUCUCCCCUGCCCAGUCCGGUGAGGUCAGCUCAUGAAUACCACUGCACUUCCUGGGGAGCGUCUGGCACUGCUUGGUACCUCCAGCGUUCGCCUACUGAGAGCUGCAGCCUUAAGCCCUGCAGUCCACAGCCGAGAAGUAAACGACUCCGAGGGCAAGUGAGUCUUCUGGUUACCGCCAUUGUUUGGAGAAAUUCAGUGAGUGAGAAACUGGGAAGAGCGGGCCCGAAGUCUUACUCAGCCAGAGUCGCAUAUAAUACUAAGAAGAUGAAUUUUCCUGGUCUCUGAAAGACACUGGAAUAGACCCUGAGGUUUCCGGAAUAUUGAUGAUUUGCUUCAACUUCUUCCAAACAUCGUCUCUCCUGAGAAGGUCUUCCUAAGUCGCCAUGAGUCAGCCACCGACCGGGGGCGCUGCCCCUGCCGCAACAGCAGCUUCUGCCGCCGCCGCAGCCACCGAGGCUCGUCUGCACCCGGAGGGCAGCAGCAGAAAGCAGCAGCGAGCUCAGUCACCAGCUAGACCAAGGGAAAAUUCUCUCCGACAGACAGCCGGGGCCAACCGGUCCGCUGUGGGGGCCGGCACCAAACUCAAUUCUGUUCGGCAGCAGCAGCUGCAGCAGCAGCAGCAGCAGCAGCAGCAGCAACAGCAGGGUAACAAGGCUACCAGCCGCGCGGCAUCUCAGGCCUGUGCCCGAGGAGGCGGAGGCGGGGCGGAGAAGGCGGCGCCCCUGGCGCCCAAAGGGGCUGCUCCGGGAGCUGUCCAGCCUGCGGCUGGUGCUGAAGCGGCCCCCUUGGCGACCCUGGCCGCUGUGGGCGGCAGGAGGCCGGGGCUGCCGGAGGAGCCAUCCCGUGAGCUAGAAUCCGUGCCCUCGAAAGUCGGGGAACCCCCUCCUCUCAGGGAAGGAGGAGGAGGGGACGGGGAAGGAGGAGGAGCCGGCGGAGGCUCCGGGGAAAGGGAGGGGGGCGCUCCGCAGCCGCCGCCGCCCAGGGGCUGGCGAGGGAAAGGCGUACGCGCUCAGCAGAGGGGAGGCAGCGGCGGGGAGGGGGCCUCCCCUUCGCCAUCCACCUCUUCUGCGGGUAAAACCCCAGGCCCCAGCAGCAGAAACUCCGGAAGCGGCGUUGCGGGGGGCGGCAGCGGCAGUGGAGGGAGCUACUGGAAAGAAGGAUGUCUGCAGUCUGAGCUCAUCCAGUUCCACCUCAAGAAGGAGCGGGCGGCGGCAGCGGCCGCGGCGGCUCAGAUGCACACUAAGAACGGCGGAGGCGGUAGCAGCAGCCGUAGCUCCCCAGUCGCGGGCGCCCCUGCCAUCUGUGAGCCCCUCGUCCUCCCUUCCACCUCCCCAAUGGCGGCGGCAGCGGAGGGCCCCCAGCAGAGCGCAGAGAGCAGUGGUAGCGGCGGGGGCAUGCAGGCGGCGGCGCCCCCUUCGUCGCAGCCGCACCCGCAGCAGCUCCAGGAACAGGAAGAAAUGCAGGAGGAGAUGGAGAAGCUGCGAGAAGAGAAUGAGACUCUCAAGAAUGAGAUCGAUGAGCUGAGAACUGAGAUGGACGAGAUGAGGGACACUUUCUUCGAGGAGGAUGCCUGUCAACUGCAGGAAAUGCGCCACGAGUUGGAGAGAGCCAACAAAAACUGCCGAAUCCUGCAGUACCGCCUCCGCAAAGCCGAGCGCAAGAGACUCCGCUACGCGCAGACUGGGGAGAUCGAUGGGGAGCUGUUGCGCAGCCUGGAGCAGGACCUCAAGGUUGCAAAGGAUGUAUCUGUGAGACUUCACCAUGAAUUGGAAAAUGUGGAAGAAAAGAGAACAACAACAGAAGAUGAAAAUGAGAAACUGAGGCAACAGCUUAUAGAAGUUGAAAUUGCAAAGCAAGCCUUACAGAAUGAACUGGAAAAAAUGAAAGAGUUAUCCUUAAAAAGAAGAGGAAGCAAAGAUUUGCCAAAAUCUGAAAAAAAGGCUCAACAGACUCCCACAGAGGAGGACAAUGAAGAUCUGAAAUGCCAGCUGCAGUUCGUUAAAGAAGAAGCUGCUUUGAUGAGAAAGAAAAUGGCCAAGAUCGAUAAAGAAAAGGACAGAUUCGAACAUGAGCUGCAGAAGUACAGAUCAUUUUAUGGGGAUCUGGACAGUCCCUUGCCCAAAGGAGAAGCUGGGGGUCCUCCUAGUACCAGGGAGGCGGAGCUCAAGCUUAGGCUGAGGUUGGUGGAGGAAGAGGCCAACAUCCUGGGCAGGAAAAUCGUUGAACUGGAGGUGGAGAACAGAGGCCUGAAGGCUGAACUGGACGACCUCAGGGGCGAUGACUUCAAUGGGUCGUCCAACCCUCUCAUGAGGGAACAGAGUGAAUCCCUUUCUGAGUUGCGGCAGCACCUGCAGCUGGUGGAGGACGAAACAGAGCUGCUGCGGAGGAACGUGGCAGACUUGGAGGAGCAGAACAAGCGCAUAACUGCGGAACUGAAUAAGUACAAGUACAAGUCUGGAAGCCACGACAGUGCCCGACACCAUGACAGCGCCAAGACGGAGGCCCUGCAGGAGGAGCUGAAGGCUGCGCGCCUGCAGAUCAACGAGCUCAGCGGCAAGGUCAUGCAGCUACAGUAUGAGAACCGCGUGCUCAUGUCCAACAUGCAGCGCUACGACCUGGCCUCGCACUUGGGCAUCCGUGGCAGCCCCCGCGACAGCGACGCUGAGAGCGACGCGGGCAAGAAAGAGAGCGACGAUGACUCGCGGCCACCGCACCGCAAGCGGGAAGGGCCCAUCGGUGGCGAGAGCGACUCGGAGGAGGUGCGGAACAUCCGCUGCCUCACGCCCACCCGCUCCUUCUACCCUGCGCCAGGUCCCUGGCCCAAGAGCUUCUCCGACAGGCAGCAGAUGAAGGACAUCCGUUCUGAGGCCGAACGCCUGGGCAAGACCAUCGACCGGCUCAUCGCCGACACCAGCACCAUCAUCACCGAGGCGCGCAUCUAUGUGACCAACGGGGACCUGUUCGGACUGAUGGAUGAGGAGGACGACGGCAGCCGCAUCCGGGAGCAUGAGCUGCUCUACCGCAUCAACGCGCAGAUGAAGGCCUUUCGCAAGGAGCUGCAGACCUUCAUCGACCGCCUGGAGGUGCCCAAAUCCGCGGACGACCUUGGCGCCGAGGAGCCCAUAUCCGUGAGUCAGAUGUUCCAGCCUAUCAUUUUACUUAUUCUCAUUCUUGUAUUAUUUUCAUCGCUGUCUUACACAACAAUAUUUAAACUUGUCUUCCUUUUUACACUGUUUUUUGUACUGUAAAUCUUUCAUCAUUUACCAUUCAUUGUAGUAUUUUCAGUUUGUUUUAUUUUGUUCACCCUUCAAGACAAGAAGUAAAAGAAGUCUAGUUUCUGUAGUAACCAAUGCUGUAAAAACACUGAAGACUGCUUAUUUCUGUAAAAAGACACAGCUCAUCUUACCUCUUCCCAAUUCAAUAAGAAGGCCAAACACAAAAUAUUUCAGGCUUUAUUUUAAAGGCAAGUGAGACUGAUUCAAA